CCUACGGGUGGCAGCAGUGGGGGAUAUUGCACAAUGGGGGAAAACCUGAUGCAGCGACGCCGCGUGUGGGAAGAUGGUCCACUGGAGUGUAAACCACUGUCACCAGGGACGAAGAUGACGGUACCUGGGGAGGAAGCUCCGGCUAACUACGUGCCAGCAGCUGCGGUAAUACGUAAGGAGCAAGCGUUGUCCGGAAUUCAUGGGUUUAGGGGGAGCGUAGGCGGGAUGGCAAGUUGGGUGUUAGAUCUACCUGCUCAAGUGGUAGUCGCACCCCAUAGUGCUAUUCUUGCGUGAAGUAGGGGCGGGCGGAAUGCCUGGUGUAGCGGUGAAAUGCAUAGAUAUUAGGAAGAACACCAGUGGCGAAGGCGGCCUGCUGGGCUUUUACUGACGCUGAGGCUCGAAAGUGUGGGGAGCAAACAGGAUUAGAUACCCCAGUAGUC
rnacentral:rRNA from 1 species